rnacentral:rRNA from 1 species
GACGAACGCUGGCGGCGUGCUUAACACAUGCAAGUCGCACGGGACUGGGGGCAACUCCAGUUCAGUGGCGACGGGUGCGUAACACGUAAGCAACAUGUCCAGGGGUGGGGGAUAGCCGGCCCAACGGCCGGGUAAUACCGCAUGCAGUCAUCGCUGGCAUCUACGGUGACGAAAGCCGGGGCAACCUGGCGCCCAUGGAGUGGCUUGCGGCCUAUCAGCUAGNGGUGAGGUAACGGCUCACCAAGGCGACGACGGGUAGCUGGUCUGAGAGGGAUGACC